GGGGAUGUGGUGAAACUGGCAGACACGUAGCGUUCAGAGCGCUAUGAUCGCAAGAUCGUGAGAGUUCAAGUCUCUCCAUCCCCA
rnacentral:tRNA from 3 species